GAUGAACGCUGGCGGCGUGCCUAAUACAUGCAAGUCGAGCGAACGGACGAGAAGCUUGCUUCUCUGAUGUUAGCGGCGGACGGGUGAGUAACACGUGGAUAACCUACCUAUAAGACUGGGAUAACUUCGGGAAACCGGAGCUAAUACCGGAUGAUAUUUUGAACCGCAUGGUUCAAAAGUGAAAGACGGUCUUGCUGUCACUUAUAGAUGGAUCCGCGCUGCAUUAGCUAGUUGGUAAGGUAACGGCUUACCAAGGCAACGAUGCAUAGCCGACCUGAGAGGGUGAUCGGCCACACUGGAACUGAGACACGGUCCAGACUCCUACGGGAGGCAGCAGUAGGGAAUCUUCCGCAAUGGGCGAAAGCCUGACGGAGCAACGCCGCGUGAGUGAUGAAGGUCUUCGGAUCGUAAAACUCUGUUAUUAGGGAAGAACAUAUGUGUAAGUAACUGUGCACAUCUUGACGGUACCUAAUCUGAAAGCAACGGCUAACUACGUG
rnacentral:rRNA from 1 species